rnacentral:rRNA from 1 species
UACGGAGGAUUCGAGCGUUAUCCGGAUUUAUUGGGUUUAAAGGGUGCGUAGGCGGACUAGUAAGUCAGCAGUGAAAGUUUACGGCUCAACCGUGAAAUUGCAGUUGAUACUGUUGGUCUUGAGUAUACAUGAGGUGGGCGGAAUUUGUGGUGUAGCGGUGAAAUGCUUAGAUAUUACAAAGAACUCCGGUUGCGAAGGCAACUCACUGGGGUAUAACUGACGCUGAGGUACGAAGGUGUGGGUAUCAAACAGG